rnacentral:rRNA from 1 species
GACGAACGCUGGCGGCGUGCUUAACACAUGCAAGUCGAACGGAAAGGCCCUGCUUGCAGGGUACUCGAGUGGCGAACGGGUGAGUAACACGUGGGUGAUCUGCCCUGCACUUCGGGAUAAGCCUGGGAAACUGGGUCUAAUACCGGAUAGGAGCCAUUUUUAGUGUGAUGGUUGGAAAGUUUUUUCGGUGUAGGAUGAGCUCGCGGCCUAUCAGCUUGUUGGUGGGGUAAUGGCCUACCAAGGCGGCGACGGGUAGCCGGCCUGAGAGGGUGGACGGCCACGGGGGGAGUGAGAUAGAGCACAGGCGACGGGGAGGAGCAGCAGUGGGGAAUCGUGGAGAGUGGGAGGCAGGCUGCGGGAGGGGGCGGGGGGGGGGGGUGGCGGCCUUGGGGUUUUAACCUGCUUUGUAGAGGGAGCAUGGUUUUUGAGCAGGUAACGAGGUAGGAAGCCCCGGCUACCGACGUGCCAGCGGCCGCGGGAGUAGACGGAACGGCAAACGUCUGACC